rnacentral:rRNA from 1 species
AAGAGCUCGUAGGCGGUUUGUCGCGUCUGCCGUGAAAGUCCGGGGCUCAACUCCGGAUCUGCGGUGGGUACGGGCAGACUAGAGUGAUGUAGGGGAGACUGGAAUUCCUGGUGUAGCGGUGAAAUGCGCAGAUAUCAGGAGGAACACCGAUGGCGAAGGCAGGUCUCUGGGCAUUAACUGACGCUGAGGAGCGAAAGCAUGGGGAGCGAACAGGAUUAGAUACCCUGGUAGUCCAUGCCGUAAACGUUGGGCACUAGGUGUGGGGGACAUUCCACGUUUUCCGCGCCGUAGCUAACGCAUUAAGUGCCCCGCCUGGGGAGUACGGCCGCAAGGCUAAAACUCAAAGGAAUUGACGGGGGCCCGCACAAGCGGCGGAGCAUGCGGAUUAAUUCGAUGCAACGCGAAGAACCUUACCAAGGCUUGACAUGAACCGGAAACGCCUGGAAACAGGUGCCCCACUUGUGGUCGGUUUACAGGUGGUGCAUGGUUGUCGUCAGCUCGUGUCGUGAGAUGUUGGGUUAAGUCCCGCAACGAGCGCAACCCUCGUUCUAUGUUGCCAGCACGUGAUGGUGGGGACUCAUAGGAGACUGCCGGGGUCAACUCGGAGGAAGGUGGGGACGACGUCAAAUCAUCAUGCCCCUUAUGUCUUGGGCUUCACGCAUGCUACAAUGGCCGGUACAAAGGGUUGCGAUACUGUGAGGUGGAGCUAAUCCCAAAAAGCCGGUCUCAGUUCGGAUUGGGGUCUGCAACUCGACCCCAUGAAGUCGGAGUCGCUAGUAAUCGCAGAUCAGCAACGCUGCGGUGAAUACGUUCCCGGGCCUUGUACACACCGCCCGUCAAGUCACGAAAGUUGGUAACACCCGAAGCCGGUGGCCUAACCCCUUGUGGGGGGGAGCCGUCGAAGUGGGACUGGCGAUUGGGACGAAGUCG